rnacentral:pre_miRNA from 1 species
AGUGGGAUUGCUGGAUCAUAUGGUAUUUCUAUCUUUUUAAGGAAGUGCCAUAUUGUUUUCCAAAGUAGUUGCACCAUUUUGCAUUCCCACCAGCAGU